CCCUGCCAGGAGUGACGGGAGAUAAGGCUGGAGAUCACCAGGCGUCGUGCCAAAAGCUUGCUUUUCGCCCUGUAGGCAGCUGGGUACUGCAAAAGGUUAUUAAGCUGAGGAAUGUCAGCCGUAUUUGAAUUACAGCUAGAGCUCUUUGAGCAGUGUGGAGAAUGGAUGUUAAGACAAAUUCCACUUAGGAAGCAAGGAUCCUGGAGGAAGGGGGGACCUGAGCUAUGCAGGCAAUGGUGAGAGAAGGGCACGGAGUCAACACCUGUUUGGAAAAUAGAAUUGACAUGUGGGGGUGCCAAUGGGAUAAAGCAGUUGACAAAAAGGGGUGUCAUCUCCAUAUCCUCCUUUAAGAGCAGAAGCCUUAGUUCAGAGACUCUCUCUACAAAGGUCCAGCCAUGGACAUGGGGACAAGAAAGCCAGUGGCAUAUGGUCACCUCAGACCCAGGGCACCC
rnacentral:lncRNA from 1 species